rnacentral:tRNA from 1 species
CGCGGGGUGGAGCAGCUCGGUAGCUCGCCAGGCUCAUAACCUGGAGGCCAUAGGUUCAAAUCCUAUCCCCGCUA